UUUGAUUUAUGAACCUCCUCAAGAAGGAAAGACAGAGGAGGAGACAAAGAAGUAUAGGUUCACAUUGCAUAGCCAGUUUAGUUUUGAAGGAUGGAUAUAUGAAAAAAAUAUGAAGAGAGAGAAGAGAGAAGAAGAGGAGGAUUAAAGAGGGUGAGGCCAGCUUUUGUGCUUUGGUAGUAGAUGAGGUUUAAAUGCUCCAUACCUUCCAUUUCCUUCUCUCUUACCCUAAUUUAAUUCUUCCUCUCCUUUAUAACUCCCCACAGACAUUCUCACUUCUCCUCCUCACAC
rnacentral:misc_RNA from 1 species